rnacentral:rRNA from 1 species
UACGGGGGGGGCAAGCGUUGUUCGGAAUUACUGGGCGUAAAGGGCGCGUAGGCAGCCAUCUAAGUCAGACGUGAAAUCCCUCGGCUCAACCGAGGAACUGCGUCUGAUACUGGAAGGCUUGAAUCCGGGAGAGGGAUGUGGAAUUCCAGGUGUAGCGGUGAAAUGCGUAGAUAUCUGGAGGAACACCGGUGGCGAAGGCGGCAUCCUGGACCGGUAUUGACGCUGAGGCGCGAAAGCUAGGGGAGCAAACGGG